GACGAACGCUGGCGGCGUGCUUAACACAUGCAAGUCGAACGGAAAGGCCCUGCUUUUGUGGGGUUCUCGAGUGGCGAACGGGUGAGUAACACGUGAGUAACCUGCCCUUGACUUUGGGAUAACUUCAGGAAACUGGGGCUAAUACCGGAUAUGAUCUCCUGCUGCAUGUUGUGGGUUGGAAAGUUUCGGCUGUUGGGGAUGGACUCGCGGCUUAUCAGCUUGUUUGUGGAGUAGUGGCUUACCAAGGCUUUGACGGGUAGCCGGCCUGAGAGGGUGACCGGGCACAUUGGGCCUGAGAUACGGCCCAGACUCCUACGGGAGGCAGUAGUGGGGAACAUUGCACAAUGGGCGGAAGCCUGAUGCAGCAACGCCGCGUGCGGGAUGACGGCCUUCGGGUUGUAAACCGCUUUCGACUGUGACGAAGCGUGAGUGACGGUAAUGGGUAAAGAAGCACCGGCUAACUACGUG
rnacentral:rRNA from 1 species